UUCUCCUCCUUCUUCUUCAUCUUCUUCAUUCUUCUAGAGAGACCGACGACACCCCCCCCUCUCUUUCGAAAAUCUCUUCACCACUGACCAAAGAGCCGCCACCAUUUCGUCUCUUCUCGACCAUCAAAACCAGCGGCCGCUCGAUGUUCGUUUAUGCACUACCCAUUAUUGAUUUUUGAGCUUCAGACGUCGGGUUCGUUGAGCCACACACCGACCAGCCGCCGCCCAAUCGUCAAACACCACAUUGGUUGCUACUUUGCGUCGUGCUGGGCCACCCUCUGUCAUCGCUAGCCUCACUGAAUUUAGAAGUUGAGGUUAUGUAUGAAAGAAGGGAGGUUAUGUGAAAUUGAGGCUGAAGAGGAAGAAGAGAACUUUGGAAAAGUGACAGCUAUAACAGCAAUGUGGUAAACAUAGACCACCUCUGAUGUUCUAAUCGGUUUGAGCUACACAAAAAGAAUUAAGAGGUGAGUUUUAAAUUCUAUGAAAUCUAAUUCAGUUUUGAACAAAUGUUAUGAAUGAAGCUUAAGCAAAUUCUGAGGUUUAUUGGGUGAAUUUUCACACAAAAGAUAGAGCAAGUGUUUUUCACGCGAAAUCAGAAGAUCUCUGUUAGUUUUAGCAUUUUAGGGUGUACCAGUAGAGUUAGGAUCUCUAUUUAGUAUGGUUGGAAAGCUUAUUCAAUGUACUACAACUUUUAUGAAGAAAUUGUGAGCUAAAUAUGUUUAGAAGUAAGUUUAAUUUCAUAAACAAGUCAGGGGAUAGCAGAAGACUCCGUUUUUGAACAUUCUCUGUUUCGGGCCAAUACUGUAGCAAUCUGUUGGGAAUCGUAUUUUUCUUCCUUCAGAUAACUUAUAGAGGCCAUCAAAAUGAAAAGUUUGACAUAACGAACACUCAUUUUGGUUAAGUAUUGAAAGAGUUAUGAUCAUUUGAAGUUUACAUUACGAAUCUGAAAAUUUUUGAGAAAUGUGUUGUCGAGGUAAUUUUGAUAUGGUUUUAGAUAACUUUUAGUGGGUUCUCUCAUGUUUGGGUGCUUGUGACGUUAAGAGAUUAAUGUGAUGCUAAGGGUCCAAAGUUGGAAUUUUUAGAAUAGAUUAAAAUAUGAAGGGAUAAUUAAAUUUAAGUCUUGGAAGAGAGAAAUUGGAGUCUUUGGAGCAUAAAAUAGUUUGAGUUGGCUUAUUAGAGUAUGUUGAAGAUUGUUGUGUCGUCUUGCUUUGUAAAGUUAAUUGAUAAACCUUAAUCUUGUUUCAUGCUAAAUCGAAGUGGGAAAGGCGUAAAAUCUCGGGAGAUCGAGUAAUUGAUUGUGAGUGGCGUAAAUUCAAGUAUUUUCAUUAUAAAUCUAGUAUAAUUGUUCUAGUAUGAAAAUUUAGAAUAUGAUUGCCUUAUGAUUUAUGUGUUAUAAAGGUUUUCAAAUGUGAUUUUCGGUUUUCCAUGAACUCUUGUAUUUCGAAACUGUGGUUGAACCCAAACUUAUUAAGUAAGUUUAGAUGACAACUUGUUUAUAAACAUUCAUUGAUUUGUAACUAGAUUCGAAGGAGUUCUAAAAGUAUGUAUUGAUGGCUUAGGAUCCAUAUAUGUGAAAACGUGUUUCUAACCAUGUUUGAUUUGUUUUCAAACUUGAAAUGUGUGACAUUAUGGAUGUUGGUGAUUACCCUUAAGGCUACAAGAAUGUAUUUCUGUAGCGCCACAUACGGUUGUCAGGGGAUUCCGUGGCUGAAAGAGGCCGUGAUCCGAGAUCCGAGAACUUGAGCCUAGGUGAGGACGUGGAUGAAGGAUUAUGAUAUGGCUUCGGGCCUAGCUUAACCCAUGGUUGGGUGGCUCUAUGUGCACAUAGAAUCUGUAUGUUGCUACCGUGGUAGGUGCUAAGUAUGCGUGAGCUCCGUUUGACCGAGUGUUUCCUUGUGGAUUGGAUCACGUGUGAGCUAUCCUUGGGUCGUAUGCUUAGUAUGCUAUCAUGGUUUCAUUGGAUUGAUUGGAUCAGAUUGGAUGAAGGUUGUUAUCGUGGCGAGCACUAAAUAUGUGUGAGCUAGUUUUGGCCGCAUGAUUUUUUAUCAUGUGUGAGCUAUCUUUGGCCGUAUAUUUAGAUGCCUUGCCAUGGUUGAUUGGGUACAGGUUUGUUGGCCUUACUUUUGGUUUAUGGUAAUAUACGAUUUUAACGUUGUAAUUAUUAUUUCGUUAUUGAGGUUAUAUUUAAACGAUUUGAAGAUAUGUUUUAUAAGCUUUUACUUUUAAAACUUGUCACUCAUUGAGAUUUAGCUCACGUUUUCAAUGUUUUCUCCCCCUCCCUCAGGUAGCGGUCAAGAACCAAGCAUUGGUUGAGCUUCCCGUCAUUAAUCGUAGAUUUUCAUUCUUUUCGUAUGUUUUUAAUUCAAGUUUGUAUUUGUAUAAUGGGGUGCUUAGAAGUAAUGAGGGUCACGCCAAGGUCAUGUGUUUUGAGACACUUUUAGACUGUAAUUAUUUCUUGGCUAGUAUCUAGUCUGAUAAUGAGUUCUUCCUGAAAUUCUGAAUGAGAUUCUUAAAUUGUUUGGAUGAGUGUGUGGUGAGACACACUCGAUGAUAUUUGAGUUUCUUUUAUAAAAAAAAACAUAGAUGUGUGAUUUUCUUCUA